GGGGAGAGAGGCAAAAAAAGAGCACUAAACAUUCCCUGUAUCCUCGGGCUUCCCCACUCCCCAAAACGCUUUGGAAGAGCUGCAUUUUCAAGCAGAGAGCUCCGUCCCCAGCCCGGCACCGCUCAGGGGCCGGGAAGGGAGCCGAGCUUCCAGCCCAGCGCCUGUUCCGGCCGAGGAUGGGGUCACCCCUUCACCCCCAAGGGGAGAGGAGCUGCAGGGGGACGGGAGCCCUGCACAGGGAUAUCCUCCCUUCCUCCGUGCGAGCCACGGCUGGGAGCGCCGUCCCGGCAGAGCUCCCGCUGCCUCCGCACCAGAGCUCACCGCCGGAACAGUUUGGCCACCAGCUUUGGGGUUUUGGCUAUCGAAGCGCCCAGCUCAUCGGCCGGGGGAGAUGGCUCUGCACAUACCUUGGGCUCGACCCUGCCGUGAACUUGGUGCUGUUGGGAAGCAGCUGGCUCGGGGCACGCAGGAGGGGGCCCGCAGUUGCCCGGGCUGGGGAACACGCACGCCGGGAUCGCUUGGCCCCGGGGCAGCAUCUUACGUGCCAGGCUCCCUGCACUGGAAUGCAGCCACGAGGGACACGCAGCGGACCCUGCUGCCUGCCCUGCUUGGCCCCUGGCUCCCUGUCUGGCCACGGGGGCAAUGCUGUGGGCAAGGAGGCUGCCGGACGCUUCCCACCCCUCGCUCUGCACCCCUGGUUUGGGUGGAAAGGAAUGGCUCCUUUUUUGACAUUUUGUUUUUCCCCCUCUCCUUUCCUGCCAAGCCCAGACCCUGCUUCUUGUUGUUGUAGGUAUUUAUGGGCCUGUUUAUCUGAUCUCGGGGGAGCCUAUUCUUAUCUGAGAAGCAGCAAGGGAAGGGUUACACUGGACAGCUCGGUAGACAGGAUGGAGCCAAAUAAAAUACCAAUCUGACAAAAAAAAAAAAAAAAAAAAAAAAAAAAAAAAAAAAAAAAAAAAAAAAAAGGAGGGAGAAAGAAACACCCAGACCCAGCCACCCGAUCAUCCAUGAGCACUGUCCACUGUAUGCUGCAUUUGCCAGCUCCCAAAACAGCUGCUGGGUUCAGGCAGACAGCACAAAUCUGGGCAAAAAAUGCCUGAAAGACAGGAAGAAAAAUAAAUUUUAAAAGUUUCAGGUCGGUUGUUACGGCAGUUCAGCUGUGAUGCUGCUAUCCCGCGUUUCUCGGGGUGAACACGGAAAUGUCCCAGCUUGGAACGAGAGGCGCAGCCGGUCCCCAGCCCGGCGGGGACUCACUCGAGGUCGUCCCGAAGGUCACGGCCAGGGCCAGGGCUGCUCCCUCCCGUCUCGGGGCCCCUCUGGGCUGGCCCCGGCCGGUGACACAGCCCUGGGGGAGGCACCCGGACACCACGGCGGGACCGAGCGCCACCUCUGCCCGGCCUCCGCGGAGCCCAAAGGUGCUCAGGGAUGGGACGGGAUAGAGGGGAUAGGAUGGGAUGGGCUGGAUGCGAUGUCCCCUCCUGCCUGGGCAAACAGGGGGGCAAGGGCAGCCUCAUGCCAGGGGUACCCCCAGUCCUUGCCCCCUCCCCACGCCCCUCUAAUUACCGCUCUUAAGGACGCGCCUGGGAGUUGUGGCCAUUUAAGGUAGCCCCAGCUCCUCGGACUAGGGGUAAUUGGGCCAUAAUUUGUUUUCGGUGUCAAGAUGGCGUCAAAGAUAAGACAAAAAUCUCCAGGUUUGGGGGCUAAAGAGACAGGAGAAAUCCUGACCCGGGGCCGACCUCGGAGGAAUGGCCACAAGCCCCAGUGAGUCACAUGGCAGGUGAAAGAUUUACUGCCAGGGGAGCUUUUUGAUCCUCUCCCAACACUUGGAGCCUCUCAGGCCAGUUGCUGGCUCCUAAGUCAGACUGUCUCCUGGGAGCACUGCUCAGGUGGGAAGGUUUUCUGUCCGACCGAGGCCCCGCCCAGCUGUAAAGUUCAUGACAUUCGAUAGUUCUUCCUCAAAUCUCCGUGCUCCUGGAGUCAUGUGAUUCCGAGAUCCACCGAAAGAGAAGAUGCAUUUCCAACCCACAGCUGUAGAAAUGAUGUCAAGCACGGGAAGACUCUGCAGCCACAAGCUGGAAUGUGUGUAUGAGCAUAGCAUAGCCUUGCUAUGUCAGCAGGAUUUGGAGCCAACCUACAAGAGGAAUUUGGAAGCCAGAAUGUCCUCCUGCCAAAGCAGCACAGCUUCUCCUCAGCGACAUUUUGUGCUGAGAUUAUUUGGUGAGCAAGCUUUCCCUGCACCUCUGUGUUUUAAAGGAGAGUGUCAGAAACACUGCAGCACUUCGCUGUGUGAACCAGGUAUAGCAAAGUUCUAUCCAAAGCAAUCUCCUCUGGACUCUUGAGUUUUUACUGAAAGGAACACCAAGGAAUUUGCAGUGGGAGAUUUAGGGUUUGGUUAGGGCCACCCCUCUCUGACAGAAGCAUAAGCCCUGAAAAAGCUGCUUUUUCCUCAGAAAGUGAACGUAGAAAACAUGUUGUAGCUGGACAAGAUGUACUUCUCACAUAGAAGAAGUUAUUUUUUUGGUACCCAACACAGAUCUAGAAUGGGAUUCUGCUGCAGGUUGAGCAAUAUGUCACUCCAAGGAGAUUUAUGGAAGCUUGAGUUUCCCUUCUGGUAGGAUAGCAUGAGGAGUGUAAGAGCCUCAGGCAGCAGUGAUUCAAGCAUGGGAGCUGGUUGAGGCUCCAGUGUAGACUCAAAGCUGCUCAGGCUUCACAGGAAAUCUGGGAAGUGUGUGACAGCUUUAGCUUAGGCUCCCUUUAUUUUCCGCCUGCAUGGCAAUUGAUCUUUCCUCUCGGGUACAUUCAUGGUAAAUUCCUUAAGCAGGCAGUCCUUCAUGUCAGGAGGCAGCUGACAGACAUGAACUGGUUAGUUAAAAUAUGACAAAUCAGGACUGCUAAUGAGGAACAACCCCAUCCUACUUCGUUCAACUUACUCCUACACUGCACACUCUCUAUAUUCUGUAUAUGCACUCCGUGGUUGACUUUGAAAAAGA